rnacentral:tRNA from 1 species
GCGCGUAUGGUUUAGUGGUAGAAUGCUUGCUUCCCAAGCAAGAGACGGGAGUUCGAUUCUCCCUACGCGCA